ACCAAUGUAUUUUAGUGGUUUAAGUGUUAGACUAUGACUCUGGAGACCAUGAUUCAAAUCUCUGCUCUGCUG